ACCCUGCCUUGCACCAGUGCUUGAGGUGCGCACUAGUGAACGUAAACAGGAAGAGACUAGAAUGGAGAGAAGAACAGGGCAUCAGGGAUUGUGAAGAGUCUGAAUGUUUGGAAACUAAGAAGCAAGCUUUUGGUGCUGCCUGAAGGCUGUCGUUGGUCCACAUUCGGGUUGCUGUCUAAAGGACUGGUAAAUUAGUAGAAAGACUCUGAGGAAGCUGAAGGAUGCUAUGUGUUUGUCCUAGUGAAUAAACACCUGUCUUUAUUUCCUGUUACACUGUGUUGAGUUGCAUGCCUAUUCGUUGAGUGCCUAGCCGAGAGUUGCAACAAUUGGUGUUAUGACUCUACAAUGCACGCUGUCAUUAGGUGUGAGACUGCGCACCAUGAGACACAGGACAGAGACAUGAAAUAAGAGAGGAAGUCAAGAUGGCCGAUGAUUAGAGAUGAAAACGACGCUUGUGAUGUGAUUAGUGUAAUUCUAGAUCUAGUUUCCUAUUUGGUUAUUAAACAUUCUAUUUUGUUAUUUUAUGCUUCUUUCGUUGAGGUUAUUUGGCUAAGUUAUAGCAAUUGUUCUGGGUGGAAAGACAUGCUCCAAUUUGAUUCCCUUUUCUGUAAUUCAUCUAAUUCUCUUUGUAAAAUAUCUGUGUCUUGUGUUGUUUUUAUUGUUCUAUAUAUUAUGCAAUUGUAUACAACUUUUUGUAGUCGCCAAAUAACACACUUUUAUGCUCAAGCAAUACUGUUCAUGAAUGGUUUAGUUUUCUUGAUGCUGAGAGUGUUCAUGAAAGAGGGAUCAAAGGUCAAUUUGGGUGUUUGUUUUUUAAGACAACUUGCUAUGUUUAUUAAUUUAAAUUUACCAGGUACCUAUUAUUCAUUUACUUUGGAUUUUAGAAUAUUUGUCAUUGAAAUUUAAAUAGGUAUAAGUACAGUUAAUUAACCACAGGAUUCCAUUAAAAAAUUUAAAUGCUAAAGAAAUUUAAAAAGAAAACAUUUCAUUUUUGAGAUUACAUCAUCUUUAUGUGGAAUGUUUUUUGAAUAAAUGGUACCUGUACAGGUGAUUAGACCUAUUAAUAAAUGAUAACUGGAUAUAUUUGUAUUUGAAACCACUGGCUUGUAUUUUACUUGUUACUAAUAACUUAAUUUACUUUUUAAUAUAUGCGUUAUCUUCUAUUUUGAAGUAACAUCUGUAUUAUAUAAGAUAAGAUUAUCAACUGUAGUUUUCUUUUAAGAGUUCUUUAUGAAAAUGUUACCACUGAACACUGCUAUAUUACUAGACUUUUUUCAACUAUGUUUUAUAAAUGAAAUAUUGUACAAUGGCAUAUUUAUUGUAUUACAUAAUUAAGGUUUUUAUAGCUAUAUAUUAAAAACAUCUCAUAUUUAAUGUACUCUCUGCACUGAACAAUUUUUUUUAAAGUGAUAAAAAUUUUGGUUUAUUCAUAUCAAGUUUGUUUUGUUUGUAUAUAUGUAGAAUAUGUAUAUCAUAGUGAAAGCAUUUAUUUACUUGCAUUUUAGUUUUUAUAAUCAUUUAUAGAAUUCAGUGUAAAUUCAUUGUACAUUGAACCUCGUUGGUAGUGACAAUGUUAUUAAGUUGACAUGAAGUAUUUAUGUAUAGUCCUGGGUGUUAUCUACAUUGUUCAUUAGAUGACUGCCUGACGGUGUUUUAUCCCAUGGGAACUAAUAGAUCAGCAUGUCAAUAUAUCUGUUGUAGUAAUGUUUAGAGUAUACAACUCUAGCAAUAAAUAUUCUGAUCAAGUUUAUAUUUUUGGAACAGAAUAUGCUAAUGUGUUAAAUACAUUUUUUUUUAUUUUAAGAAUAACAACUGGUACUUUAUUUUAUCCCUUUGUAUCUUUCUUUUUUUUUUUUUAUGUCUAAGUAGUAUAACUUCUAAUUUAAUUGUCUCCCUUUUAAAAUCAACCAUCUAAAUUAGGGAUGGCAACCUUUUUCUGUUGAGGGCCGCAUUAAAUUUUUUUUUUAGGAAUAGGGGGCCACAUAUAUAUAAUUUGUAUUUACAACUUAGAAAAAUAUGCUAGCUGUCUAUUAAUUUACUUGUAUACUGUAUUAGACAUUCAAAUUGAGGAAUUAUAACAAGAUUUAGCAAUUUUUGAAACUAAUUUAACUAAUAUUUAAAAAAAUUUUGUUACUGUCUUUUUACAUCACAUUCAUUCUUCACAACAAUCCAGUUAUACUUAAUGUGAAGUAUUUAAUUGUGCAUAAUGUUCCUGAACUCUGGAACUAGCUUUACUAGUUCUUAUCUUUGUGACUGCUGUUAAAUUACAGCCAGUCAGCAUCCACUUGUUCUUCUGGUUGCAUAUGGUCAAACAAAAGAAAAUAUUCUUGUGCAUCCAAAAAUGUCAAAGUUUAGCAUCAAGUCUUUUAAGUGUGGAAAUACAGCUUAUGCACCCUUCAAACUGCUUCUCUUUUGGGUCAUAAUUUGCUAGGAAGUAUUUCCUCGGGAGCUGAAUCAGCUUCUGUACUAAAUGGUGAAGUGAGGAUAUUCAAAAAUGGUUCAAGUUCUUGACGUCUUAACAUUUGUUUUCAAAUUCCAUAAGUCUUGUUCUUUUCUUUUUACUAGAAAUAGUUUCACCUUUCAGCAAAGGAAAAUGUGUCACAGUCUUAGUUGACAUUGCAUGAUCUAAAUUUCACGUCAUGUUAAGAGUUUAAAAGACAUGUGGAAUUCCUGAUGUAGAAAACAGGAAGUAGAAUGAAUAAAGUUGACUUUGAGUUCAGUCAAGUCAAGUCAGUAAGGUUUUGCUCCCGGUCCAGGAAGGUUGGACGUUGCUUCCUUGACUGGUGUAUAUAUAUGUAUAUAGCAUGAAAGUCGAUGGACUAAUGAUUGUUGAUUAAUUAUAUUUGAGAGUUGAUUUCAUCAUGUGCUUAUUGAAUAUUAAAGUAUUAUUCGUAUUGCAAUGGAUAUCUAUAGUUGGAGCUCCAGUGUCACUAGUAGCAAUUGUUCUUAUUGUUGUUCUUACUGAGAUGCGGACGUGAUUUGUAACUAACAUAUAUUGGAUACUUUUGAUACCGCUGUUAUGUGGAUAGGAUUGUUAUUAUUUCUUGACUUGUAGCACUAACAAGGAGUGCAGUGUACUAUUAUUAUUAUUAUGGUAAAAUAAACUUCAUGUUGUCUGCUGAAA